rnacentral:rRNA from 1 species
UACGUAGGGUGCGAGCGUUAAUCGGAAUUACUGGGCGUAAAGCGUGCGCAGGCGGCGCCGCAAGUCGAGUGUGAAAUCCCCGAGCUUAACUUGGGAAUUGCGCUCGAAACUACGGUGCUGGAGUGUGGCAGAGGGAGGUGGAAUUCCACGUGUAGCGGUGAAAUGCGUAGAGGAUGUGGAGGAACACCGAUGGCGAAGGCAGCCUCCUGGGCCAACACUGACGCUCAUGCACGAAAGCGUGGGAGCAAACAGG